rnacentral:misc_RNA from 1 species
CCCCUCUCUCCCACAAUAGUUGUCACUUUGACUUUUUUUUAAUAUUUAAUCAUUCGUUUUAUUUGUAAAAUUAGUGCAAAUAUAAAAAAAAAUAAGUCACUUAAAGUACUUUUGAUAAUAAAACAAGUCAUAAAUAAAAUAAAUAAUAAUUUCAAAUUUUUUUAAUAAGACGAAUGAUCAAAUUUUACAAACAAAAACUAAAAGCGACAAGUAAUAUGGGACGGAGGUAG